rnacentral:rRNA from 1 species
AUUGAACGCUGGCGGCAUGCUUUACACAUGCAAGUCGAACGGUAACAGGUUAAGCUGACGAGUGGCGAACGGGUGAGUAAUGCAUCGGAACGUGCCCGGUCGUGGGGGAUAACGCAGCGAAAGCUGCGCUAAUACCGCAUACGAUCUGAGGAUGAAAGCGGGGGACCGUAAGGCCUCGCGCGAUCGGAGCGGCCGAUGUCAGAUUAGGUAGUUGGUGGGGUAAAGGCUCACCAAGCCGACGAUCUGUAGCUGGUCUGAGAGGACGACCAGCCACACUGGGACUGAGACACGGCCCAGACUCCUACGGGAGGCAGCAGUGGGGAAUUUUGGACAAUGGGCGCAAGCCUGAUCCAGCAAUGCCGCGUGCAGGAAGAAGGCCUUCGGGUUGUAAACUGCUUUUGUACGGAGCGAAAAGGCUUUCUCUAAUACAGGAGGCUGAUGACGGUACCGUAAGAAUAAGCACCGGCUAACGACGUGCCAGCCGCCGCAGUAACAC